rnacentral:rRNA from 1 species
UACGGGGGGGGCAAGCGUUGUUCGGAAUUACUGGGCGUAAAGGGCUCGUAGGCGGCCAACUAAGUCAGACGUGAAAUCCCCAGGCUCAACCUGGGAACUGCGUCUGAUACUGGAUGGCUUGAAUUCGGGAGAGGGAUGCAGAAUUCCAGGUGUAGCGGUGAAAUGCGUAGAUAUCUGGAGGAAUACCGGUGGCGAAGGCGGCAUCCUGGACCAAUACUGACACUGAGGAGCGAAAGCCAGGGGAGCAAACGGG